CCGGUUGAUCCUGCCGGACCCGACUGCUAUUUGGGUGAGAAUAAGCCAUGCGAGUUGAAUGGGAUACCUAAAUUUCCCAUAGCAAACUGCUCAGUAACACAUGAUCAACUUACCCUAUAGAGAAAAAUAACCUCGGGAAACUGAGGAUAAUGUUUCAUAAUUGAAUUGGCUUGGAAAAGUUUUUCAAUGAAAAGGAUAAAAAAAAUGGUUUUUAUCUGCUAUAGGAUAGGAUCGUGUUCGAUUAUGGUUGUUGGUGAGAUAAUGGCUCACCAAGCCGAUAAUCGAUAGGGGCCGUGAGAGCGGGAGCCCCGAGAUGGGUACUUAGACAACGACCCAGGCCUUACGAGGCGCAGCAGACGCGGAACCUCCGCAAUACACGAAAGUGUGACGGGGUUACCCAAAGUGUUCAAUAGAACUGUGGUAGGUGAGUAAUGUCCCCUACUAGAAAGGAGAGGGCAAGGCUGGUGCCAGCCGCCGCGGUAAAACCAGCUCUUCAAGUGGUCGGGAUAAUUAUUGGGCUUAAAGUGUCCGUAGCCGGUUUAGUAAGUUCCUGGUAAAAUCGGGUAGCUUAACUAUCUGUAUGCUAGGAAUACUGCUAUACUAGAGGGCGGGAGAGGUCUGAGGUACUACAGGGGUAGGGGUGAAAUCUUAUAAUCCUUGUA
rnacentral:rRNA from 1 species